rnacentral:rRNA from 1 species
AUACGAAGGGGGCGAGCGUUGUUCGGAAUUACUGGGCGUAAAGCGUACGUAGGCGGCCUGAUAAGUUAGGUGUGAAAGCCCUAGGCUCAACCUAGGAAUUGCAUUUAAAACUGUCGGGCUAGAAUCUCGGAGAGGAUGACGGAAUUUCCAGUGUAGAGGUGAAAUUCGUAGAUAUUGGAAGGAACACCAGUGGCGUAGGCGGUCAUCUGGACGAGUAUUGACGCUGAGGUACGAAAGCGUGGGGAGCAAACAGGAUUAGAAACCCUAGUAGUCC